GUGACUGCUGUGUAAAUGGCAAGCCGAAAACGCGAAUCUAGCCACCCCGAACGUCGAUCCAUGUAACUUUUGUCCCAAAUCCUACAAAACAAUAUAAAACAUACUUAAAUAGACACAAACACAUAAAAACAUCCUAAAAGACUUAAGAACAACAAUAAAUUAAGCCCGAAUGUAUCCAAUUCAUGGGUAUAAAACUCACUCA
rnacentral:lncRNA from 1 species